UUUUUUUUUUUUAAUAUUAAAAACAUUUUUAAGACUGUCAAAGUUUUAAGGUGGAAUUCUGUAUUUUAGCUAUGGAUGUCUGCAGAUUAAAAGAAAAAGAGCUGUUUGCCCUGCCCCUUGGGUUUCGCGUCUUCUGUCUAGCUUCACACCCUCCUCACUUUUGAUUUUUGAGAACUAUGGGGUCCAUGGUUCUCCUUGGCUGUGAGAUUUUACUAGGGAUGCAUAUCAAACCUUGGACUGGUGCAUGCAAGCCCUGCCUGUGAGAACCCUUUCAUGUCCCAGUAAUUGGAAUGCUUUAAGUCACCUGUGAGAGUACUCUAAGGCUCCAUUCGUCAUUUUCCUCAGGGGACCAGAGCUCUGACAUCUAACUUUUCCAUAUCUGUUUAUAUCGGAGCAGACCUUCCAUCUCUAAGAACCACCAACUUCGAGUGGAACGGACCCACACACCCUUUCUUUCCAUUUCUCUGGGCACAAGAAAGUUUCAGGAACUCCUAACUUGUAGCUGCAGAACGAGUUAACUCACAUGUCAUGGUCAACCAGGCCAGACAACCUUUGACUUCUGGGAUCUCUAAGGGUUGGGGUGAAGUGGGAGGAUGGACAAUAGCUCAUUGUCACAGGAGACGCUUGUCCUGUGAGGAAGAGAGUCCCAGAAUCAUUGCUGUCCUCGUUAGGGUGGUGUCCGUUAAGGAUUAAUUCGUUAGCACCGCAUUCCUAGUUUUCCGUAAUUAUUAUUCUUACAGCAAGCGUGAAUUCAUCCAGGGAGUGAGAAAAAAAAAAAGUUUGCUUCCAGGACAAUGAAUGUAUUAUCCGUUCCUAACUGGACCGUGAACUUCAGCUCGUUUCACAUAGAUAUCAGUUUAAGAAAAGGAGAGUGUGUGUGAUGUUGUAGGGGGAGUCUGAGGACUGGGAUUUCAAAACAGGGCAUGGUUCACUGUACGAUCUACAGAAAAAAGCACUCUCCCUUCCUGGACAAAUGGUGCUAUCCUUUUGGCAAGGCGUAGGAAUUCGGAAGACUGAGACUUUUAAAAGUGAGCUACUGCAGGAUUCUAUUCGGCUGCUGCCUGGGACUCAGUAUGUCCAUUCCAAGGACUUGAGUAAAAGUAGUUGUGGGUAUGUGUGUACUUGUCUAUUUUCUCUCGUAAUUUCUUACCUAGACGUCUGAAACUUUACCAGUGGCUACAGAACAGUAUCACAGAGCGCUUUUGGCUAAUGAGAUUCGCAGUCCUCUAUCUCUUACGACCCUGAGCGUAUUCAAGGCAUUUAUUUUCCCAUUAGACUUUCUGCCAGCAAGAACAAGGUUUGCUUGUAUGAGAUGGUCAUAUUGCUUCGAUUCACACAGCUUGUUAAGCACUACAAAUGAAUUUACUGAUUAGAUUGGCAAUUAUUUUCUACGCUAAGUUGUAAGCUUGAAAAAAAGGGGGGGGGGACCUGCUCUCGGGAAAAACAUUCUUUUCCCUUACUGUACUUAGGCGGUCCUAGAUUUUAUAGACUGUUAAUGGUAAAUCCUGUCAUCUUUUUUAUUUCUUGCAAAUAUCACCAAAGGCUUCUCUAGAGCAAGCGCGUUCUUUCUCUCUCUCUCUUUCCUAGUUUGGAAAACUGUAAUUUCUUUUCUGUAAAGUUUACUUGGAAGUUGCUCUUCAUCUAAAAUUAUUUUGCAGAUGUUUUACCACAGGGAAUAUAGUGUAUAAAAGUGGUGGGAACACUUAGCAAUGCAUUUGACUCAAGAUAAACAAUACAGAAAGCUCACACGCUGCUGUUUAGGCUGCAUACUGAAAAGAAGUUUCUCGGGACUUCAGUGCCUCUUGAUUUUUGCUUUGAAUAAGGGGUGAGAAAUCUACAAGCUCUUUAGAGAAGAUGUAGGAAAUACCACAGGAAAUAAAUCAAAAUUUUAGUUCCCUUAAGGGCAAUUGCACACCAUAGAAUUUUAGACCUACCAGUUACAAAUAAUUCUGAUGUAAAUUUUCCAGUUUUGGUGGCAAACUAAGGAAAAGCUUUUCUGAAGGAUGAAACAACUAAUGAAAAGAAUACAAAUUUUACAUUUUAUUUCUUUAGUUCUCUCUCCUUGAAUAGCCCUCACUCCUUCACCCACAAGAUCGCCACCUUACUAGCCCAAACAAUUUUUCCAAAGUGAAAAAAAAGGAAAAGAAAACUCCUGGUUUACAUCGUUCCUCUAGCAAAAGACAGUUCAAGAUCUGAAUUUCACAUUAAAGGCAAAUAAAGCUUUAAAAAUUACCUCCUGUGUCAUCUGGCUGCUCAGACUCCAGGCUCAUAGUGGGAACCUCCGGCUUGGUCCUCCCGGCAUACAAAGGCAACUCAGUGAAUGCCCCCUCCGCCCAUGGAGACUCGGCCUCAGCUGCCAGCUCCGGGAUAUGCAAUUUUGCUUUUUAAUGAAUCGUAAACAAUUUGUAUGGCAAAUGAGUUUGUUUGUUUUAGUUUGGGGGCAUGUGCUGAGCCAGGUUGUACGAGGUCAUCACCUAUUCCAGGAUUUAGGUGCAAAUGGGUGGAGCUCUGGGUCACUUUUUAAUUUUUUUUUUCUAAAUAAUAAGGACACACUAGGAUAAAAGAAACCAGUCAAUAAAAGAUUAAGAAUAACAAGCCCUCUCCCCCUUCCUUUUCCUCCCCUCCCCCCAUAACUGCCCUGGCUUACAGUGGAGUUUUGUGCCCUUUCUAAUAACUAGCUGGAAAGCAUUUGCAUGACGUAACCAACAUUUCUUAUGGGUAUAAGUUUUAGCAUUGUCUUUAAAAGACUACUUCCACUUUAAAAAAAAAAAACAGCUAUUUUAUGAUGAAAAAUACUGACAUGGGACAUCUCCAGCAUCACUUCUUAAAAUUAAAAGUUAACACUUUCCCGAAGGCUAUUGGAGAUAAGAAAUUAGAAAGAUAGUUUUUAUAUGAAAGUGGUG
rnacentral:lncRNA from 1 species